CCGACCUUAGCUCAGUUGGUAGAGCGGAGGACUGUAGUCGAAGUUGCACUGAAAUCCUUAGGUCGCUGGUUCGAAUCCGGCAGGUCGGA
rnacentral:tRNA from 1 species